UCUACGGGUGGCAGCAGUGGGGAAUAUUGGACAAUGGGGGGAACCCUGAUCCAGCGACGCCGCGUGAGUGAAGAAGUAUUUCGGUAUGUAAAGCUCUAUCAGCAGGGAAGAAAAUGACGGUACCUGACUAAGAAGCCCCGGCUAACUACGUGCCAGCAGCCGCGGUAAUACGUAGGGGGCAAGCGUUAUCCGGAUUUACUGGGUGUAAAGGGAGCGUAGACGGUGCAGCAAGUCUGAUGUGAAAGGUCGGGGCCCAACCCCGGGACUGCAUUGGAAACUGUUGAACUGGAGUACAGUAGAGGUAAGCGGAAUUCCUAGUGUAGCGGUGAAAUGCGUAAAUAUAUGUAAGAACACCAGUGGCGAAGGCGGCUUGCUGGGUCGAGACUGACAUUGAGGCACGAAAGCGUGGGGAGCAAACAGGAUUAGAUACCCUUGUAGUC
rnacentral:rRNA from 1 species